UUGAACGCUGGCGGCAGGCCUAACACAUGCAAGUCGAACGGUAACAGGAAGCAGCUUGCUGCUUCGCUGACGAGUGGCGGACGGGUGAGUAAUGUCUGGGAAACUGCCUGAUGGAGGGGGAUAACUACUGGAAACGGUAGCUAAUACCGCAUAACGUCGCAAGACCAAAGAGGGGGACCUUAGGGCCUCUUGCCAUCGGAUGUGCCCAGAUGGGAUUAGCUAGUAGGUGGGGUAACGGCUCACCUAGGCGACGAUCCCUAGCUGGUCUGAGAGGAUGACCAGCCACACUGGAACUGAGACACGGUCCAGACUCCUGCGGGAGGCAGCAGUGGGGAAUAUUGCACAAUGGGCGCAAGCCUGAUGCAGCCAUGCCGCGUGUAUGAAGAAGGCCUUCGGGUUGUAAAGUACUUUCAGCGGGGAGGAAGGGAGUAAAGUUAAUACCUUUGCUCAUUGACGUUACCCGCAGAAGAAGCACCGGCUAACUCCGUG
rnacentral:rRNA from 1 species